GGAAUAAGAGCAGGGUGAAUGCGUGUGAUUUCGGCUCACGAGGGUAGGAAUUUCCUAAUUAUUCUA
rnacentral:tRNA from 1 species